AAAGCUUGCGCAGGCGGUUAUGUAAGACAGAUGUGAAAUCCCCGGGCUCAACCUGGGAACUGCAUUUGUGACUGCAUGGCUAGAGUACGGUAGAGGGGGAUGGAAUUCCGCGUGUAGCAGUGAAAUGCGUAGAUAUGCGGAGGAACACCGAUGGCGAAGGCAAUCCCCUGGACCUGUACUGACGCUCAUGCACGAAAGCGUGGGGAGCAAACAGGAUUAGAUACCCCAGU
rnacentral:rRNA from 1 species